CAAAUUACGAUUUUACCCUUUAAAAAUGGUAUCGGCUGAUGAGGUCUGAUUCCACCUCUAUACUGGCCUAUAUAAAUGCAGCUUCUCUCCUUCCUAUGUUAAACCAUCAUCCUUCACACUUGCGCCAUUUCUCUUACCUAAAACUCUAAAACAUUCUUCAACUUCUCAACUCUUUUCUCACCCAAAAAAAAAAAAAAAAAACUUUCUAUUUUGAUCUCAUUAUUCUUCUGGUCGUGUUAAUUAGUGAUUAUCUCUAAUUUAGUCUGUCUAAUUUCUAUCAUCUUGCUUUCAAUUUAUGCAUAUGAAAUUAUGAACUCCCCUCAAAAUAAAAAAAAUGAACAAUUAAAAAACUCCCAAGUAUUUAUUUGUUAAUUUAUGUAGGAAAUGAGUAAGUAAGUAAGUGAAGAGAGCUUUCUUCAGUCCACUCACAGGAAGGGUUGAGAUUUAUCCUGCUGUCGACUCAUUCAUCUCAACUACUUUGCGUUUGCGCGCAUAUAUCGGAGGAUCAACCUAACCAUCACGGUCGCAACAGACGCCACGCACAGUAAAUGAGUGAAUGAAGCGAGAGUCAAGCUGGAUCUUAAGCUUCUUGUAUCUUGGACUGAAGGGAGCUCCCUUUCCCCCCCCCUUUUUUUUUUUUUUUUUUUUUUAUUUUUUUAUUUUUUAUAUGUUGAUUUUUAAUCUAAUUCUUGCGAUGUCUGUGUGUGCCCUACUAGGGUUUUAAUGAGUCGCAAAUACUCGUGUAAUUACCUUAUUAGUCCAUUAUUUAUGCCCACUAAAACUUUUUCAUAAAGCUUAAUAUCAAUUAUAAUGUCUUAACUUUGUUUUAAAUCUUAUGAUGAUUUGAUUAAAUCAAACAUCAUGUCAAUCAUUUUCAAAUUGAAAGGUUGAAUAAAACAAAGAUUGAAAGAUAAUUAGUGUUAGAUUGUGUUUAGUAUGUGAUUAUUAUUUCCCGUCUUUGUGAAAGGGAUAGAUGGGUUUUUGGCAUUUUGCAUAUGUUCAUAAUUUUGCAAAAUAAACUUGAGUGGUUACAAUAAAAAUGUGUAAAUAGUGCCCUUGUGUGUUAAUUUGAUGAUUUGAUUAUUUUUUGUGUUAAUUUGUGCACAAAAAAUAAAAAAUAAUAAUAAUAAAAAUAAAAGUAAAAAUGUGUGUGUUAAUUUGAUGAUUUUGAAUUUAAUUUGUUUCGUUCACUUGGCGUUACAACGUUUGCAGGGGAUGUUUGAUGAGAUACGGAUUAUACUGGCGAUUAAAAUGAUAGAAAAGCAUAAAAUUAAAACCUUGGAGAUGACGAGUAUUUUGAUGGCACUCUAGAUCUGUACUCCAUUUUAAUUUUAUGUAGCGAUUUUGUAAUUAGGAUAGUGUUUAAAUUAGCAAGUAAUCUGUAUUUUAUUCGUCAUUUUUACAAAUUAAAGGCUGGAAAAUCCGUAGUUUAUGUUGCGUGUAUUCAGUGGCGGACCUUGAACGAUUUUACGAGGGGGGCCGGUAGAAAAAAUUAAGCAAUAUACUAUGUAAUUAUACAAUUAUACACAAAUUUUAGGGGGGCAACAAAGAUCCGCCCCUGCGUGUAUUAGCUCGUUAGCACGCUAAUGAUGUGAUAAUGUAUUUUAAAUCAGUUUUCGACGAUAUUCUUAAUUAUUAAAAUUAAUUAUAAUGUC